rnacentral:tRNA from 1 species
GGUUUUUUGGGGGGAGUUAUUGGUCUCUCAGAAAAGAAAAGAGGGGCUUCAAUGUUUGGAUUUUUUCA